rnacentral:rRNA from 1 species
AUUGAACGCUGGCGGCAGGCCUAACACAUGCAAGUCGAGCGAGCGGCGGACGGUGGAGUAAUGUAGGGGGAUCUCCCCGUUGGAGGGGGAUAACUACUGGAAACGGUGGCUAUUCCCCCAUACUAUCGGAUGACCCCAUAUGGGAUUAGCUAGUAGGUGGGGUAAAGGCUCACCUAGGCGACGAUCUCUAGCUGGUCUGAGAGGAUGAUCAGCCACACUGGGACUGAGACACGGCCCAGACUCCUACGGGAGGCAGCAGUGGGGAAUAUUGCACAAUGGGCGCAAGCCUGAUGCAGCCAUGCCGCGUGUAUGAAGAAGGCCUUAGGGUUGUAAAGUACUUUCAGCGGGGAGGCGUUACCCGCAGAAGAAGCACCGGCUAACUCCGUGCCAGCAGCCGCGGUAAUAC